rnacentral:pre_miRNA from 1 species
NNNNUCAACUGAAAAAGUCAUCAACAAUAAAAUUGUAUAACUCAUCAAGAUCUAUAACUUCUAUUUUCGUCAUUUCUUCAUCCGAUAAAGUUAUUUGUAACAUUGUUCACAAAAUAUACACAUCUCUUAUAGUUUUAUAAACUAUAAGAGAGAGAUAUAAAUUUUAAGAAUAUGUUAUGUUCACUUUAUUGGAUGAAGAAAUGAUCAAAAUAGAAGUUAUAGAUCUUGAUGAGUUAUACAACUUUAUUGUUGAUGACUUUUUCAGCUGAAAUC